AUCCAACUGACGAGUCCUAAAUGGGACGAAACGCGCGUCCUGAAU
rnacentral:hammerhead_ribozyme from 1 species